UACGGAGGGUGCAAACGUUGCUCGGAAUCAUUGGGCGUAAAGCGCACGUAGGCGGCCUGUUAAGUUGGGUGUGAAAGCCCUCGGCUCAACCGAGGAAGUGCAUUCGAAACUGGCAGGCUAGAGUUCGGUAGGGGAGACUGGAAUUCCUGGUGUAGCGGUGAAAUGCGCAGAUAUCAGGAGGAACACCGGUGGCGAAGGCAGGUCUCUGGGCCGAUACUGACGCUGAGGAGCGAAAGCGUGGGGAGCAAACAGG
rnacentral:rRNA from 1 species